rnacentral:tRNA from 1 species
GGGCGCGUAGCUCAGCGGGAGAGCACUACGUUGACAUCGUAGGGGUCACAGGUUCAAAUCCUGUCGCGCCCACCA